GGCCAGACUCCUACGGGAGGCAGCAGUGGGGAAUAUUGCGCAAUGGGCGAAAGCCUGACGCAGCGACGCCGCGUGAGGGAUGAAGGUCUUCGGAUCGUAAACCUCUGUCAGCAGGGAAGAACGGUCACUGUGCUAAUCAGCAGUGAAUUGACGGUACCUGCAAAGGAAGCACCGGCUAACUCCGUGCCAGCAGCCGCGGUAAUACGGAGGGUGCGAGCGUUAUCCGGAUUUAUUGGGUGUAAAGGGUGCGUAGACGGAGAAGCAAGUUAGUUGUGAAAUCCCUCGGCUUAACUGAGGAACUGCAACUAAAACUACUUCCCUUGAGUACUGGAGAGGAAAGUGGAAUUCCUAGUGUAGCGGUGAAAUGCGUAGAUAUUAGGAGGAACACCAGUGGCGAAGGCGACUUUCUGGACAGUAACUGACGUUGAGGCACGAAAGUGUGGGGAGUAAACAGGAUUAGAUACCCGAGUAAA
rnacentral:rRNA from 1 species